rnacentral:rRNA from 1 species
CCCUUAGAUGUUCUGGGCUGCACGCGCGCUACACUGAAGCGUUCAACGAGUAUUCACCUUGCCCGGGAGGGUUGGGUAAUCUUUUGAAAACGCUUCGUGAUGGGGAUAGAUUAUUGCAAUUAUUAAUCUUCAACGAGGAAUUCCUAGUAAGCGCGAGUCGUCAGCUCGUGCUGAUUACGUCCCUGCCCUUUGUACACACCGCCCGUCGCUCCUACCGAUCGAGUGAUCCGGUGAAUAAUUCGGACUGCAGCACUGCUUGGUCUCCAGGCUUUGCAGCGGAAAGUUUAGUGAACCUUAUCACUUAGAGGAAGGAGAAGUCGUAACA